rnacentral:rRNA from 1 species
AUUGAACGCUGGCGGCAGGCUUAACACAUGCAAGUCGAGCGGAGAUGAGGUGCUUGCACCUUAUCUUAGCGGCGGACGGGUGAGUAAUGCUUAGGAAUCUGCCUAUUAGUGGGGGACAACAUUCCGAAAGGAAUGCUAAUACCGCAUACGCACUAGGGGGGAAAGCAGGGGAUCUUAGGACCUUGCGCUCACAGAUGAGCCUAAGGCGGAUUAUCUAGUUGGUGGGUUAAAGGCCUACCAAGGCGACGAUCUGUAGCGGGUUUGAGAGGAUGAUCCGCCACACUGGGACUGGGACACGGCCCAGACUCCUACGGGAGGCAGCAGUGGGGAAUAUUGGACAAUGGGCGGAAGCCUGAUCCAGCCAUGCCGCGUGUGUGAAGAAGGCCUUUUGGUUGUAAAGCACUUUAAGCGAGGAGGAGGCUACCUGGAUUAAUACUCUAGGAUAGUGGACGUUACUCGCAGAAUAAGCACCGGCUAACUCUGUGCCAUCAGCCGCAGUAAGAC